GGUGAACGCUGGCGGCGUGCCUAAUACAUGCAAGUCGAGCGAACAGACGAGGAGCUUGCUCCUCUGACGUUAGCGGCGGACGGGUGAGUAACACGUGGAUAACCUACCUAUAAGACUGGGAUAACUUCGGGAAACCGGAGCUAAUACCGGAUAAUAUAUUGAACCGCAUGGUUGAAUAGUGAAAGACGGUUUUGCUGUCACUUAUAGAUGGAUCCGCGCCGCAUUAGCUAGUUGGUAAGGUAACGGCUUACCAAGGCAACGAUGCGUAGCCGACCUGAGAGGGUGAUCGGCCACACUGGAACUGAGACACGGUCCAGACUCCUACGGGAGGCAGCAGUAGGGAAUCUUCCGCAAAGGGCGAAAGCCUGACGGAGCAACGCCGCGUGAGUGAUGAAGGUCUUCGGAUCGUAAAACUCUGUUAUUAGGGAAGAACAAAUGUGUAAGUAACUAUGCACGUCUUGACGGUACCUAAUCAGAAAGCCACGGCUAACUACGUG
rnacentral:rRNA from 1 species